AUUGAACGCUGGCGGCAGGCCUAACACACGCAAGUCGAGCGGAUGAAAGGAGCUUGCUCCUCGAUUCAGCGGCGGACGGGUGAGUAAUGCCUAGGAAUCUGCCUAGUAGUGGGGGACAACGUUUCGAAAGGAACGCUAAUACCGCAUCCGUCCUCCGGGAGAAAGUGGGGGAUCUUCGGACCUCACGCUAUUAGAUGAGCCUAGGUCGGAUUAGCUAGUUGGUAGGGUAACGGCCUACCAAGGCGACGAUCCGUAACUGGUCUGAGAGGAUGAUCAGUCACACUGGAACUGAGACACGGUCCAGACUCCUACGGGAGGCAGCAGUGGGGAAUAUUGGACAAUGGGCGAAAGCCUGAUCCAGCCAUGCCGCGUGUGUGAAGAAGGCCUUCGGGUCGUAAAGCACUUUAAGUUGGGAGGAAGGGCUUACAGCGAAUACCUGUGAGUUUUGACGUUACCGACAGAAUAAGCACCGGCUAACUUCGUGCCAGCCGCCGCAGUAA
rnacentral:rRNA from 1 species